rnacentral:rRNA from 1 species
CCUACGGGAGGCAGCAGUGGGGAAUAUUGGACAAUGGGCGAAAGCCUGAUCCAGCAAUGCCGCGUGAGUGAAGAAGGCCUUCGGGUUGUAAAGCUCUUUUACCCGGGAAGAUAAUGACUGUACCGGGAGAAUAAGCUCCGGCUAACUCCGUGCCAGCAGCCGCGGUAAUACGGAGGGAGCUAGCGUUGUUCGGAAUUACUGGGCGUAAAGCGUACGUAGGCGGCUUGGUAAGUCAGAGGUGAAAGCCCACGACUCAAUCGUGGAACUGCCUUUGAGACUGCUUCGCUUGAAGAUGGGAGAGGUUAGUGGAAUUCCGAGUGUAGAGGUGAAAUUCGUAGAUAUUCGGAAGAACACCAGUGGCGAAGGCGGCUAACUGGACCAUUCUUGACGCUGAGGUACGAAAGCGUGGGAGCAAACAGGAUUAGAUACCCUGUAGUCCACGCCGUAAACGAUGAUAACUAGCUGUCGGGGCUCUUGGAGCUUCGGUGCGCAGCUACGCAUUAAGUUAUCCGUCCGUCGGGUAGGUACGGCCGCGAACGGUUAAAACGUUAAACGGUAAAGUUAGUACGGCGUGAGACGUGCCGAACGGACGACGACGACGGGAGGUAGG